rnacentral:rRNA from 1 species
ACGGAGGGUCCAAGCGUUAUCCGGAUUUAUUGGGUUUAAAGGGUUCGUAGGCGGGAUAUUAAGUCAGUGGUGAAAGCCCACAGCUCAACUGUGGAACUGCCAUUGAUACUGAUAUUCUUGAGUUUAUUUGGAGUUAGCGGAAUAUGUCAUGUAGCGGUGAAAUGCUUAGAUAUGACAUAGAACACCGAUCGCGAAAGCAGCUAACUAAGAUAAUACUGACGCUGAGGAACGAAAGCGUGGGGAGCGAACAGG